UGGGAUAUAGCUCAGCUGGUUAGAGCGCACGCCUGAUAAGCGUGAGGUCGGUGGUUCAAGUCCACUUAUCCCAACCA
rnacentral:tRNA from 1 species